rnacentral:rRNA from 1 species
GAUACGGCAGCGCGGACUUCGGUCUGGCGGCGAGUGGCGAACGGGUGAGUAAUAUAUCGGUACGUGCCCAUGUAGCGGGGGAUAACUACAUUGAAAGAGUGGCUAAUACCGCAUACGCCCUACGGGGGAAAGGGGGGGAUCGCUAAGACCUCUCACUAUUGGAGCGGCCGAUAUCGGAUUAGCUAGUUGGUGGGGUAAUGGCUCACCAAGGGCGACGAUCCGUAGCUGGUUUGAGAGGACGACCAGCCACACUGGGACUGAGACACGGCCCAGACUCCUACGGGAGGCAGCAGUGGGGAAUUUUGGACAAUGGGGGAAACCCUGAUCCAGCCAUCCCGCGUGUGCGAUGAAGGCCUUCGGGUUGUAAAGCACUUUUGGCAGGAAAGAAAUGGCACGGGUUAAUAGCUUGUGUUGAUGACGGUACCUGCAAGAAUAAGCACCGGCUAACUACGUGCCAGCAGCCGCGGUAAUACGUAGGGUGCAAGCGUUAAUCGGAAUUACUGGGCGUAAAGCGUGCGCAGGCGGUUCGGGAAUAAAG